UACAGAGGGUGCAAGCGUUGUUCGGAAUUAUUGGGCGUAAAGGGCGCGUAGGCGGCUUUUAAGUUUGGUGUGAAAUCUCCCGGCUCAACUGGGAGGGUGCGCCGAAUACUGAGAGGCUAGAGUGUGGGAGAGGAAAGUGGAAUUCCUGGUGUAGCGGUGAAAUGCGUAGAUAUCAGGAGGAACACCGGUGGUGUAAACGGCUUUCUGGACCAUAACUGACGCUGAGGCACGAAAGCGUGGGUAGCAAACAGG
rnacentral:rRNA from 1 species